ensembl:snRNA U1 U1 spliceosomal RNA
GUACUUACCUGGAAAAGAAUAUACCAUGAUCAGAAAAGUGAUUUUCCCGAGAUGAAGUUCAUUCAUCGCAUUCAAGAUAGCUAACCCUGCAAUUUCUCCAAACUCUGGAAGCUCGAUAGCAUAAUUUGUGGUCGUGGGGGACUUCAUUUGUGUCACCUUCUU